rnacentral:rRNA from 1 species
UACGAAGGGGGCUAGCGUUGUCCGGAUUUAUUGGGCGUAAAGAGCUCGUAGGCGGCUUAGCAAGUCGGGUGUGAAAACUCCAGGCUCAACCUGGAGACGCCACUCGAGACUGCUAUGGCUAGAGUCCGGUAGGGGACCACGGAAUUCCUGGUGUAGCGGUGAAAUGCGCAGAUAUCAGGAAGAACACCAAUGGCGAAGGCAGCUCUCUGGGACGGUACUGACGCUGAGACGCGAAAGCGUGGGGAGCGAACAGG